CUACGGGUCGCAGCAGUGGGGAAUUUUGCGCAAUGGGGGAAACCCUGACGCAGCAAUACCGCGUGAGUGAAGAAGGCCUUUGGGUCGUAAAGCUCUUUUCUUGGGGAAGAUAGUGACGGUACCCAAGGAAUAAGCACCGGCUAACUCCGUGCCAGCAGCCGCGGUAAUACGGAGGGUGCAAGCGUUGUUCGGAUUUACUGGGCGUAAAGGGCACGUAGGCGGCACAGCAAGUUAAGGGUGAAAUCCCGGGGCUCAACUCCGGAACUGCUCUUAAAACUGCUGAGCUAGAGAUAGUCAGAGGCGGGUGGAAUUCCAGGUGUAGAGGUGAAAUUCGUAGAUAUCUGGAGGAACACCGGUGGCGAAGGCGGCCCGCUGGGGCUAUUCUGACGCUAAGGUGCGAAAGCGUGGGGAGCAAACGGGAUUAGAUACCCCAGUAGUC
rnacentral:rRNA from 1 species